AUUGAACGCUAGCGGCAUGCCUUACACAUGCAAGUCGAACGGCAUCGCGGGAAAGCUUGCUUUCCUGGCGGCGAGUGGCGAACGGGUGAGUAACACAUCGGAACGUACCGGCUAGUGGGGGAUAACCCGUCGAAAGACGGGCUAAUACCGCAUACGCUCUUCGGAGGAAAGCAGGGGACCUUUGGGCCUUGCGCUAGCCGAGCGGCCGAUGUCCGAUUAGCUAGUUGGUGGGGUAAAGGCCUACCAAGGCGACGAUCGGUAGCGGGUCUGAGAGGACGAUCCGCCACACUGGGACUGAGACACGGCCCAGACUCCUACGGGAGGCAGCAGUGGGGAAUCUUGGACAAUGGGGGCAACCCUGAUCCAGCAAUGCCGCGUGGGUGAAGAAGGCCUUCGGGUUGUAAAGCCCUUUCGGCAGGGAAGAAAUCGGCGGGGCGAAUAACCCUGCUGGAUGACGGUACCUGCAGAAGAAGCACCGGCUAACUACGU
rnacentral:rRNA from 1 species